ensembl:lncRNA
UGGACAUUGGGUACCCAGUCACUACAGCGGGAUAAUAGGAUGACAAAAAUCAGAGACUCUUCUUCCAAAGGAUGACAGCGGACUUGAGGGGAUCAAGAUGAUCAAGCAGAGGAGCCUGGGGCCUUCAGCCUGUUCCUGCCUGGAAGUGUCCUCUUCUGAGCCCACCUGGCAAAAGAUUCCAUCUAGAAUGGCCAUGGAAGUUAGUCCUCAAGUCUUCUAAGUCAUGGAUCUGAGAGAGUUUCUCAGUCUCUCCUUGUUUUUUAUGACCUUGACAGUUUUAAAGAGUACCGCUCAGGUCAGCUUUCCUGUUGCUGGGACCAGCAAUUUAAGGGAGGAGAGGUUCACUGUGGCUCAGAGUUUCAGAGGUUUAGUCCAUGGUCAACUGCUCCUAAGGCAGAGACAUCACAAAGCAUGAUGGGGGAAAGCUUCUCAACUCAUGGGUGCCAGCAAGCAGAGCCA